AUUGAACGCUGGCGGCAUGCCUUACACAUGCAAGUCGAACGGUAACGCGGGGCAACCUGGCGACGAGUGGCGAACGGGUGAGUAAAGCAUCGGAACGUGCCCAGUAGUGGGGGAUAGCCCGGCGAAAGCCGGAUUAAUACCGCAUACGACCUAUGGGUGAAAGGGGGGGAUCGCAAGACCUCUCGCUAUUGGAGCGGCCGAUGUCAGAUUAGGUAGUUGGUGGGGUAAAGGCCUACCAAGCCGACGAUCUGUAGCUGGUCUGAGAGGACGACCAGCAACACUGGGACUGGGACACGGCCCAGACUCCUACGGGAGGCAGCAGUGGGGAAUUUUGGACAAUGGGCGCAAGCCUGAUCCAGCCAUGCCGCGUGCGGGAAGAAGGCCUUCGGGUUGUAAACCGCUUUUGUCAGGGAAGAAAUCCUUUGGGUUAAUACCUCGGGGGGAUGACGGUACCUGAAGAAUAAGCACCGGCUAACUACGUGCCAGCAGCCGCCGUAA
rnacentral:rRNA from 1 species